rnacentral:rRNA from 1 species
UACGUAGGAGGCAAGCGUUGUCCGGAAUUACUGGGCGUAAAGCGCGUGUAGGUGGUGGGACAAGUCUGCUGUGAAAGCGCCUGGCUUAACCGGGCGAGGUCGGCGGAAACUGUUCGACUCGAGGACGGUAGAGGGGGGUGGAAUUCCCGGUGUAGUGGUGAAAUGCGUAGAGAUCGGGAGGAACACCUGUGGCGAAGGCGGCCCCCUGGGCCGGUCCUGACACUGAGACGCGAAGGCGUGGGGAGCGAACGGG